rnacentral:rRNA from 1 species
AGUUUGAUCAUGGCUCAGGACGAACGCUGGCGGCGUGCUUAACACAUGCAAGUCGAGCGACAGUGUUCUUCGGAACAUAUGGAGCGGCGAACGGGUGAGUAACACGUGGGCAACCUGCCCCUAGCUCUGGGAUAACUCCGGGAAACCGGUGCUAAUACCGGAUACGACUUCCCCCGGCAUCUGGGGAAGUGGAAAGUUUUUCGGCUAGGGAUGGGCCCGCGGCCUAUCAGCUUGUUGGUGAGGUAACGGCCCACCAAGGCGACGACGGGUAGCCGGCCUGAGAGGGCGACCGGCCACACUGGGACUGAGACACGGCCCAGACUCCUACGGGAGGCAGCAGUGGGGAAUAUUGCGCAAUGGGCGAAAGCCUGACGCAGCGACGCCGCGUGAGGGAUGAAGGCCUUCGGGUUGUAAACCUCUUUCAGCAGGGACGAAGCGAAAGUGACGGUACCUGCAGAAGAAGCACCGGCCAACUACGUGCCAGCAGCCGCGGUAAUACGUAGGGUGCAAGCGUUGUCCGGAAUUAUUGGGCGUAAAGAGCUCGUAGGCGGUCUGUCACGUCGGCUGUGAAAACUCGGGGCUCAACCCCGA